rnacentral:rRNA from 1 species
CAGCCGAGCGGUAGAGAUUCUUCGGGAUCUUGAGAGCGGCGUACGGGUGCGGAACACGUGUGCAACCUGCCUUUAUCUGGGGGAUAGCCUUUCGAAAGGAAGAUUAAUACCCCAUAAUAUAUUGAAUGGCAUCAUUUAAUAUUGAAAACUCCGGUGGAUAGAGAUGGGCACGCGCAAGAUUAGAUAGUUGGUGAGGUAACGGCUCACCAAGUCUACGAUCUUUAGGGGGCCUGAGAGGGUGAUCCCCCACACUGGUACUGAGACACGGACCAGACUCCUACGGGAGGCAGCAGUGAGGAAUAUUGGACAAUGGGUGAGAGCCUGAUCCAGCCAUCCCGCGUGAAGGACGACGGCCCUAUGGGUUGUAAACUUCUUUUGUAUAGGGAUAAACCUACCCUCGUGAGGGUAGCUGAAGGUACUAUACGAAUAAGCACCGGCUAACUCCGUGCCAGCAGCCGCGGUAAUACGGAGGGUGCAAGCGUUAUCCGGAUUUAUUGGGUUUAAAGGGUCCGUAGGCGGAUGUGUAAGUCAGUGGUGAAAUCUCACAGCUUAACUGUGAAACUGCCAUUGAUACUGCAUGUCUUGAGUGUUGUUGAAGUAGCUGGAAUAAGUAGUGUAGCGGUGAAAUGCAUAGAUAUUACUUAGAACACCAAUUGCGAAGGCAGGUUACUAAGCAACAACUGACGCUGAUGGACGAAAGCGUGGGGAGCGAACAGGAUUAGAUACCCUGGUAGUCCACGCCGUAAACGAUGCUAACUCGUUUUUGGGUUUUCGGAUUCAGAGACUAAGCGAAAGUGAUAAGUUAGCCACCUGGGGAGUACGAACGCAAGUUUGAAACUCAAAGGAAUUGACGGGGGCCCGCACAAGCGGUGGAUUAUGUGGUUUAAUUCGAUGAUACGCGAGGAACCUUACCAAGGCUUAAAUGGGAAAUGACAGGUUUAGAAAUAGACUUUUCUUCGGACAUUUUUCAAGGUGCUGCAUGGUUGUCGUCAGCUCGUGCCGUGAGGUGUUAGGUUAAGUCCUGCAACGAGCGCAACCCCUGUCACUAGUUGCCAUCAUUAAGUUGGGGAC